UUGCAUUCGUCGGGUAGGAUCACAAGAAACAAUAAAUAAGAUACGAGAAUUAGGAAACACAAAAAAAGCAAAAAUCCGAAACCGAAACAUAAAAAGCAUACAAGAAAAAAAGCUAGAAAAAUUAACAAAAGAAACCUCAGCUUGCCUUUAUUUUUUUCACGUUUAAGUGCAAUCACAAACGAAGAAGCAGAAACAAGCAGAAGAAGAAAAAAGCAGCAGCACCAGUAGAGUGGUUAAUAAUUCUAACGCCAAACCAACUAUAAAACAAAAAGCCGAAAUCAUAAGCAACAGAAAGCUAGAACCACCGAAAAAUCAACAUCUAAAGCGGCAAGAAACUCACUAACUUCGAAGCAACAAUAGCCAUCAACGUUAAAAUCAAGGAAUCGCAAUCAGCAACCACUUUUUAAACAACAUCUGUAACCAAAAUCACUUUCAAGUACUUUUAACAAUCAUUUAAGCAAAAUUUGUACAAAAACCAAGAACUGGAUUAAUUCACAACACCGAUUCAACAACUACUUCAACAAUAACUGUAAAAGUGUCGCGACUUAAAGCUUGCGCUAUUCCGCUUUCUCGCGUGUACCUGUCGGUGUCGUCCUUUUUUGUUGUGGUGUACGAUAUUGGUGUUUUUCUCCAAAAUAUAUAUAUUUCUUGUGCUACGUGUUCGUCGUCCUUGUUGCGUGCGUGUGUUCCCGUGUGCGUCUGUGUGUGUGCGAGAAGAGGAGUGCGGUACUUUGUGUAUGCUAUGUCAGCGAUCGGGGGCAUUGGGGCGCUCCUCCAGGCGGCUCAAUUUCUCGAACAGCAUGCCAUCCCGCAGGCGGGAGGCGUCGGCAGCGUCCUUGGCGUGGGCGUGGCACUGCCUCAACAGCAGCAGCAGUCGGUCCACUGCAAGAACAUCUCCAUUAUCAACAACAACAAUAGCAGCCAGCACAAUAGAAAUAGCAGCAGUAACGGGAUUAUUGCAACGCCACCGUACACGAACGGAAAUGGCAACGGUACCGCCGGCGUCGGUAACGCGAGCGCCAACUCUAACGUUAGCACCAAUGCGAACGGAAACGGUCUGAGCAACGGUCACAGCAGUCCGCGCAGUCAAUUAGCAGCCGCCGCUACUGCCCACGAUUACGAGUUUACCGCCGCCGGAGUUGCCAAUGGGCACAGCGAAGGUCGCUCCCACGUCUCGGAGGACGAUAAUUCCUCAAUCAACAACAACAAUACCCAUCCCCCAUUACAACAACAGCACAGUGCUGCGGGGAGAACGACAACAAGAAUAGCGACAACACCAGCUAUAUUAACAAAGUUGAUGGGAAAUUCAGUCACACCCGCCUCAAGCAACACCUCCCUCCCCACAAGCACAGCCCCCUCAAUUACCACUUCCCCGCCCGCCUCCUCAGACUUUAUGCUGCUGGCAGCGGCAGCAGCAACGACAACGAGUGCAACACCCGCAACAGUGACAUCUGCUGCUGCAUCAGCAGCAACAGCCUCCAAUCCUGCCAAGCACAAACUGGGCUCCAUCGCCGAAAUACCGCCCAAAUUUCUAGUGGUAUCAGAUGCCAACGGAGUUUAUUCCACUCCCACGAAUUCCACGAAUCCCAAUGGCUUCGCCGCCGAUUCCCUGGGCGUGGGUUACACCGAAGCGACGAUCAAAAAGCUAAUGCAGAAUUUACAAAGGCCACGCCAGCAGCAGCAAUCACUGCAGCAAUUGCGUAGUCUGCGACCGGCGGAAAUUUCCCUAACACCGCCGCCAGCUGCCACUAGAAAAGUGGACACCAGCAACUCACGGACACGCUCUUACUCACUGUCCAAUGUUUCAGCAGCCAGGGAUCAGCAGGAUCAUCCGCAGCAUCAGCAACAUGGUAGCCAUCUGCAAAUUCAGCAGCACUACGGCUAUAUGAGGAGUACCAUUGGCGGCGUGGUUUAUGGCUUGCCCACGGACUCUGUCGAUUCUGCGGCAUCCUCGGCCGGUGGAGCGGGAGCAGUAGCGGUGGCCAUGAGUAUUGCCUCCUCGGCGCCAGCGGCGGGAUCUCAGCUAUCGGCGCAUCAUCACACGGGACACGGCGGACGCAGGCGCACCACCAGUUCCAACAGUAAUGGAGCGGGCACUCGCGAGGUGCACAACAAGCUGGAAAAGGAGCGACGCGCCCAGCUGAAGGAGUGCUACGACCUGCUUAAAAAGGUGCUGCCCAUGGGGGACGAGGACCGAAAGAAAACAUCCAACUUGACAAUACUCGACACGGCCCACAAAUAUGUUAAGCACUUGAUUCAGUAUGAUUGCGAGCAGGAGGCGAUGGUAGAGAAACUGGCCAAGCAGAAGAUUGAGCUGCAGAAGCGGCUGAAGCAAUUGGGUCUAAGGAGGGAAACGCCACCCACCGAUCAGCAAAGCAUUCCACAGGCCGACAAAGCAGUUUGCCUGGCAACAACAGCCACACCAGCACCACCAACGGCGGCCAGUGGUCGCAAUGGAACCACAAUUCUAUUUGAUGCAGGCAACGCCUGUGCCACUGGGCAGCAGCUUACAACUGUGAUAAACAAAACUAAUGCCACACCAGCAGGAGCAACCGCAGCAGCCAGCAGCAAACACAAUGGCAACCACACAGGAGGGGCAACAACCACACUGACUCCGGCCAUGGGCAUCAUGACAAUUAAAAACGGCAAUGGCAGCAACGGCAACAUACUGGCAAUCUCACCGACGGCGGGGCAGCAACAGCAGCUGCACCACCACCCCAACGGCAGCCCAGCGGGCAGUCCAUCGGGAAUAGGUGGAACAACUGGAGCCACCAUCACACGUGGCUCGCCUACGCCAUCGACUCCAUCGCCGUCGCCCAGCUCCUCGUCCAGUGGCGUCUCGUCGUCGGCCUCGUUUAUAGGCGGCUCCUCAUCAUCGUCCUCAUCGUCAUCGUCCUCAUCCUCCUCCUCAUCAUCAUCUUCCAGUUCGUCGUCCAGUUCGUCUUCGCCCACGCAACAACAACUACAGCAGAUUAUCACGCCCACGGCCACCGCCCAUUUAGUGGGUGCCCGUAGUGUCGGCCUAAAAUUCCAUGGCGGUGCGAGCGGAGCUGCCAGCGCUUUGAAUGGCGGUGCCACCAUUGUGGCCGCUGCUGUACCAGCUGGCGGAGGGUCGGCGAAUGGUAAGGGGAUGCGCACGAUCCAUCUUAAGAUCCACUGACUGGCACUUGCAAUUAAUUAUGUAUAGUUCCAUUGCUGGAAUGGAACUGGAAUACGUUUAUCAAACAAAGAAACAACUAUCACACAAGUAUUUCUGGAAAUGCAUUAUCAGGUUCCAUCAGGCCGAUAAGGAUCGCAAUUACAAUUUCCUGAUGCUCAGUGCUGGGACAACGGCACAGUAACCCAACAACCACAAGCAAACAACAAACAACUACAAUAAUAACGAAAACAACAACAACAACAACUGAAUUGUGUGCAACAGCUCCCACCUUAUGAGAAAGUAACAACUAGAGGAAGAACACUUUUUUAAAGCCAGAUGAAAAACAUGCGUAUUUUCCACACUUUUGCACACAUUGAAAAUGAAUACAAAAACAGCAGCGAACAACAAAACCAAGUCAUUAAGCUGUAAUUUUGUAAGAAAGAUAAAAAAAGAAACAAAAACAAAAGCUAUCAAACAGUUCCGCCCAACACUUAGCAUCGAUUUUGAAAAUCAACAAAAUGAAGAGAAAAAUUAUUUUUUAAUGAAUAAUUUUAAAGCAACAACAAAAACGCGGGAGAAACGCUAGCAACACCAACAACAACAAGGGAAGACCAAUUAUAUGAAUACGAAACAGCAACGACAGCAGCACUCAACCACAACAACAACAGCACUCAACCACAACAACAACAACAAAAGCUUAUAACCCCACAACACACAGGCCCAUCAACUGCAUAUAUACUAUAUAAACUAUAUAUCUAAUUAUACUACUUUAAAGUAAACCUUGAGAAGAAGAGGAACACACCAAGAAUAGCACAGUUAAAUGUAAAACAGGAAAAAACAAAACCAAAUGCGCUGUUGAAACAGAAACCACCAAUGGGUAACGCUUUAUAAAUAUAUAUAUCUCUAAAUAUAUAUAUAUAUAUAUAUACAUACCUAAAACUAAGAAGAAGAAGAUUAUAAAUUAGAAAUAUGUAAAAGCAGGAUUUCCAAAAUUCAUGUGGCAAAGAAAAAAUGAUAAAACGAAAUCAGAUAGAUGUCUCCUUUCUUGACCAAAACUAAAACAGAAAUAAUUUCUCUUGGAUAUACUUUCUUCUUCUUUCAAAAGCGGAACAUUAAGCAACAAAGCAUAAAUCAAAUCAAUAGAAAUAUAUCAAAUUAGUGUGCUUGUAUGUCAAAUAUGUGAGCACACAUUGCACACCACACAUUAACCAAUAGCAUGUAAAAUUAAAUAAAAACGCUGUCGACGGAGUGUUGUAUCUGUGUAA